CCUACGGGCGACAGCAGUGAGGAAUAUUGGUCAAUGGACGAGAGUCUGAACCAGCCAAGUAGCGUGAAGGAUGACUGCCCUAUGGGUUGUAAACUUCUUUUAUAUGGGAAUAAAAUGUUCCACGUGUGGGAUUUUGUAUGUACCAUAUGAAUAAGGAUCGGCUAACUCCGUGCCAGCAGCCGCGGUAAUACGGAGGAUCCGAGCGUUAUCCGGAUUUAUUGGGUUUAAAGGGUGCGUAGGUGGAUUGUUAAGUCAGUUGUGAAAGUUUGCGGCUCAACCGUAAAAUUGCAGUUGAAACUGGCAGUCUUGAGUACAGUAGAGGUGGGCGGAAUUCGUGGUGUAGCGGUGAAAUGCUUAGAUAUCACGAAGAACUCCGAUUGCGAAGGCAGUUCACUGGACUGCAACUGACACUGAGGCUCGAAAGUGUGGGUAUCAAACAGGAUUAGAUACCCGGGUAGUC
rnacentral:rRNA from 1 species